GGCGUAUGGCUCAGUGGAUUAGGGAGCUGUGACUGUAAUUGGAAUAUUGCCAGUUCAAAAGACAGGGUUGGCAGACUGACUGCCAUCAGGUCCUCAAGCAAAGCCCCUAACACUCAGCUGCUCCAAGGACUGCUUGACCUUGCUUCCUGAAGAAGAAAAAAAAAAACGUACGUGAUUUUGGAUAAAUGUAUCUGCUCAAUAAAUUAAAUGCAAAUGUAUUACAAUGUUUUAAUUAAACCGGGUCAGGGGGUCCACUCAGACUCCGUCACUUGCAGUGUCAUAUGUAUCUGCGUACUUUCAGCAGCCCAGAAGAAAUUAGGCUAAAGGUCAGCUGGAGAAGCACAACUGUUUAAGAAAAAAAAAAAGUUGCAUUACUCGAGUUACGGAUUUACGUCGAGUGAGGGUUGCGUAACAGAGGGUUGGUAAACUCAGCUUCUCACGGGUGAUUCGCCAGUAGUUUUCACGCCAGCUGACUCGGCUGAAUUGGAGAGGUCGGUGUACGUACUUAACCCUGGGAACAUGCAGGAGAAAUGCCGCUCAAUCUAAACCCAGCACAUGUGAAGAUCAUUUGGAACAUAAAUCUGGUCUCAAGUGUCGUGAUACACACACCUUCCAGGACACGGACUCGUUUACAAAACAAAAACAGCACAGCUUACAGGACUCCUCCUACCUAGCAACAUGGUAAAAGCGCCUUCGUCCUGUAUUAAUGUAUGAUGCCUUCUGCUACCAUUCCUUCCUUCUACGGUCAAACCAACCCAAAAUUUAAAAAUAAAAUUAAAUAAAGAAGUAAACCAAGACUCAGGAACCCAGGGGCAGAUUAAUGCAUAGGCUAUCAUUAAUUAUAUCUUAGAACAGCAAUACCUGUCAGUCUAUGGCCCCCACAUAAGUUAAUUUGCGCCUGUGAUAACCCAUUUUCCCCCAAGAAAGAAAUGGCCCUAAAUUUGAACCUAGUUAUGUUGCUCCACACAGUAGGGUUAAAACUUUGACUGAGAGCAACAGAUGCUCAAGAACACUGACAUUUUAGUCAGUGGUUAUUUAAGGUCUGUUAUGUUAGGCGAGGCUAUAAACUACUCAAUUAGACCUGAGAUCGACCAAAACCAACAGGUCCUGCAAUUCACCGUGCUCAAAGGUGCAUUACCAUGACCCAAAAGCUUCUGAGAUGUAACUGAUGAUUACUGCAAGCGCCUUGCUAUCGAUCAUGGAGAAAAAAAUAAAAGCUUGAGUGGUUAACUACCGGGGACAAAAAAAAAAAACUGAACAUCAUCCAAAUCUGACAGUCAUCUCCAGAAAGUAAUGUGCUUUAGAAAGAGGAGCGUUUUCAUGACACUGGCAUUCAUGCAGUACUGCACCAAAGCUUGGACGAGGAGAGCGUUCAUUGGACGCCAGCUGUUUUUGAAGUGUGAUUUAUCAUGGAGGGGAAAUCUACGGAGUAUCACAACGUGAAACCAUCUACAUAAAUCAAAAC